rnacentral:rRNA from 1 species
CAGUCGCCGCGGUAAUACGAACCGUGCGAACGUUAUUCGGAAUCACUGGGCUUAAAGCGCGUGUAGGCGGGCCGCCGCGUCGGCUGCUGAAAUCCCCCGGCUCAACCGGGGAACGGGCACCGAUACGGGCGGCCUCGAGGGGGGUAGGGGGGCCUGGAACUUCCGGUGGAGCGGUGAAAUGCGUUGAGAUCGGAAGGAACGCCCGUGGCGAAAGCGAGGCCCUGGACCCUUUCUGACGCUGAGACGCGAAAGCCAGGGGAGCGAACGGGAUUAGAUACCCCCGUAGUCCCUGUCUCUUAUU